GAUCCUGGUUGCCCGGUUUAAGCGUUUAGGCUUGUUUUCCAGGCAAAUCCGGAAAAUCAAGGCUGAGGCGUGAUGACGAGGCACUACGGUGCUGAAGCAACAAAUGCCCUGCUUCCAGGAAAAGCCUCUAAGCAUCAGGUAACAUCAAAUCGUACCCCAAACCGACACAGGUGGUCAGGUAGAGAAUACCAAGGCGCUUGAGAGAACUCGGGUGAAGGAACUAGGCAAAAUGGUGCCGUAACUUCGGGAGAAGGCACGCUGAUAUGUAGGUGAAGUCCCUCGCGGAUGGAGCUGAAAUCAGUCGAAGAUACCAGCUGGCUGCAACUGUUUAUUAAAAACACAGCACUGUGCAAACACGAAAGUGGACGUAUACGGUGUGACGCCUGCCCGGUGCCGGAAGGUUAAUUGAUGGGGUUAGCGGUAACGCGAAGCUCUUGAUCGAAGCCCCGGUAAACGGCGGCCGUAACUAUAACGGUCCUAAGGUAGCGAAAUUCCUUGUCGGGUAAGUUCCGACCUGCACGAAUGGCGUAAUGAUGGCCAGGCUGUCUCCACCCGAGACUCAGUGAAAUUGAACUCGCUGUGAAGAUGCAGUGUACCCGCGGCAAGACGGAAAGACCCCGUGAACCUUUACUAUAGCUUGACACUGAACAUUGAGCCUUGAUGUGUAGGAUAGGUGGGAGGCUUUGAAGUGUGGACGCCAGUCUGCAUGGAGCCGGCCUUGAAAUACCACCCUUUAAUGUUUGAUGUUCUAACGUGGACCCGUGAUCCGGGUUGCGGACAGUGUCUGGUGGGUAGUUUGACUGGGGCGGUCUCCUCCUAAAGAGUAACGGAGGAGCACGAAGGUUGGCUAAUCCUGGUCGGACAUCAGGAGGUUAGUGCAAUGGCAUAAGCCAGCUUGACUGCGAGCGUGACGGCGCGAGCAGGUGCGAAAGCAGGUCAUAGUGAUCCGGUGGUUCUGAAUGGAAGGGCCAUCGCUCAACGGAUAAAAGGUACUCCGGGGAUAACAGGCUGAUACCGCCCAAGAGUUCAUAUCGACGGCGGUGUUUGGCACCUCGAUGUCGGCUCAUCACAUCCUGGGGCUGAAGUAGGUCCCAAGGGUAUGGCUGUUCGCCAUUUAAAGUGGUACGCGAGCUGGGUUUAGAACGUCGUGAGACAGUUCGGUCCCUAUCUGCCGUGGGCGCUGGAGAACUGAGGGGGGCUGCUCCUAGUACGAGAGGACCGGAGUGGACGCAUCACUGGUGUUCGGGUUGUCAUGCCAAUGGCACUGCCCGGUAGCUAAAUGCGGAAGAGAUAAGUGCUGAAAGCAUCUAAGCACGAAACUUGCCCCGAGAUGAGUUCUCCCUGACUCCUUGAGAGUCCUGAAGGAACGUUGAAGACGACGACGUUGAUAGGCCGGGUGUGUAAGCGCAGCGAUGCGUUGAGCUAACCGGUACUAAUGAACCGUGAGGCUUAACCU
rnacentral:rRNA from 1 species